rnacentral:lncRNA from 1 species
AUGGUCCUCAACAGAAUUCACCAAUAUACAAUACUCUACUGUACAAAUAAAGAACACUGAGUAAAGUUCGAAGAAUUUCAUCAAUUAGAAUCAUUCCCUGAGCUGUAGCAGCUUAGAGCUUGAUGUGGGGUUGUGGAAUUUGAGCUUCCAGACUCACCUGGCUACUGAUACAAAUCCAAUCGCUCAUUUUAGGAGAGAUUUCCGUAUCUUCAUCUUGAUCUGUCCCCUUUUAGGAAGUAGCCUUUGAUUUGAUCUUCCUGACUCAAUCCCUACAGACACAAGUCCAACCUCUGAUUUUACUAGAAAUUUCAGUAUCUUCAUCUUGAUCUGUCCUCUUUGGGGAGGCAGCCUUUGAUUUUGCUUAGAUUUUGAGGGGAUGAAUUCCAUAGCUUAAACUUCAAUUGGAAAUUCUGAAAAUAGAGUAGUAGUCAAGAAAAUGAGAAAAACAGAGGGGGAUUUAAGCUUUGCGGGGGACCAAAACACGAAAUUCAAUU